UUGGCUUGCAUUUCAGGGCCAUGUUGUACAAGAGAGAGAGAGAGAGAAAGAAAAAUGUAUCUUUAAACACUUGAAUCACACCCGGAUGGUGAGAUGCUCAUAUGCUGAGAACAGUGCAGGCACUGAGACCAAGCGAAGGAAUAUCCGAUGCGACUCUCCCUCCGCACGCUCUCCUGGGGCAUAUGCUCUAGUGGGACGUGGAACAGUUGCACCCACACUGUUUACAUUCUUCCUUUCUUUCUCUUCCUGGCAGAGGAUGCCGAGGCUCUUCAUGUAGGAAAUUAUUGGACUAUGGAACCCUAAAAAUAACAUUCAUUAACAUCUGACAAAGGAGCACAUUUUUGGAAACUAUGCCCUUAGCAAUUUUUCUCUUUCCAUGAAAAUUAAACACAUCCAUGGGGUCUACUUGCAACUGAAGAGAAUGGAAUUGGGACUUAUUCACAGUGGGUU